AGAUGUUUGGCUCACUGCGUUGGACGACUGGAAAGAAGCUUCAACAGUCGGGACAGCAUCUCG
rnacentral:pre_miRNA from 1 species